CGAGGAAUCUUSCGCAAUGGGCGCAAGCCUGACGGAGCAAUACCGCGUGUGGGAUGAAGCGCCUUACGCCGUGUAAACCACUGUCAGGGGACGGAAUCAAUGAUUGUCCCCAAAGGAAGAGACGGCUAACUCUGUG
rnacentral:rRNA from 1 species